UACGUAGGGUGCAAGCGUUGUCCGGAAUUAUUGGGCGUAAAGAGCUUGUAGGCGGUUUGUCGCGUCUGCUGUGAAAUUUCGGGGCUCAACCCCGAACUUGCAGUGGGUACGGGCAGACUAGAGUGUGGUAGGGGAGACUGGAAUUCCUGGUGUAGCGGUGAAAUGCGCAGAUAUCAGGAGGAACACCGAUGGCGAAGGCAGGUCUCUGGGCAUCUCCUGACGCUGAGGCGCGAAAGCGUGGGGAGCAAACGGG
rnacentral:rRNA from 1 species